rnacentral:lncRNA from 1 species
GGCAUCAGGAAUUCCAUACACCAAUCUGUUGACACCCUGACCUGUAGGAUGAAGAUAUGCGCAUGUUGCAGAGGGACGCGGUUCCUCUGACUUACGUCGGAGGGAUGCAGUUCCUCUCACUCAAGUCGGAGGGACGUGGUUGGCUGACAUGUGGUUCUUAUCGUCUAUGGACCCACAUGUUAGUCACUGAAAUCAAAGUUAGAGGAUAUCAUUCCAUUGCA